rnacentral:lncRNA from 1 species
GAAACUAUGCAAUUUUAAAACUUAUAUUUGACUGAUAAGAACAUAAGGCCUUGAUACAAAAUAUGGUAGUUUGAACAACACUGUUUACGACAUUUAAAGAAAACAUUGGAAAAGAAAAGACAAAAGAAACUACAGAAAAACUCGAAGUGGAUCUUUUAUCUGUUCUUUGAUGUCCCGAAUCCUACAAAACUUUCAUAGCGAAACUCUCUCUUGUCUUUUUCGGGUACAUAAUCUUUGCUCAAAUGAAUUUAGCUAGAACCGAGCUGCUCAACUUUGUUCUGAAGAGCCAGUCUGGUACGAGUAUGACAAGCAAAGCCAUAAAUUAUCCUUGAUAGAAGCCUGCAAUCGCGACUCUCAACUUCAGAUGACAUUGAAGUGAGAAUGAGCUCAAACGAAUGGUCCUAAAUAUAACCUUCCCUGGUAGGGCCGAUUAGCCCCAUUACUUGAACUCAGAUAACGGAUGGGAAGGGUGACAUGACACCAUUAUGCGUGAUAGGGCAAAGCUAGCCAGUUGAGGUGUUUCAGCUCUUUUUCUUUUCUGGGGAUGCAGUGCCUGCUUGAUGUAAGACUUGUGAUUCCUUG